AUAUAUAUAUAUAUAUAUAUAUAUAGGUUACCGCGUUACUUCGAUUUUCAAUCUGAAACCGCUUCUAAUUUUAUCGCGUCGUUAUUAUUUUUCUCUAUCUUUUUUUUUACUUUUUUUCUUUUCUUUUCGUAAGUCAUUUGAUUCCUUUUUUUUNNNNUUUUUUUUUUUAUAUAUUAACAAUAAUUGCGACCGCGGAGCUAUCGAAUACUCUCUCGGCGCCGCGCAAUUUCCCCUCGACGCCUCGGCAUUUUAAUUUUCUUUAUAGUACAAAACAACUUAUUUAUACGUACCUAUUAAUACAUAACUUACUUAUAUUAUAUAAAUAUAUAUUAUUAGCAAGGGCCCUACUCACGAUUCAACUAUACUUUUACGACGAAAAGCGUAAAAAAAAACCGACAAAUUGUAAACGACGAUGCGGACGCUGUCGCGCAGAACGCUCUGUAUAAUUUUCUUCGUAACAUGUAACCGAAUACGUUGUGGCGCGGGAUGAAUGCUGUAUUGCGCGUUGAGAGAGCGAGAGAACGGCGAGGACGAUGAGUACGAGUCUACACGAAUGUACUUACUUACUUACUUACGAGUGCGUGCCUGAGAGAGAGAGAGAAAGAAGAAUGGGGAAGGAAGAGAGAGGCGACCGACGUUUCGAAGAAACGCAAUAAAAAUCUAUAUACAUGCGUGUAGCGAUUAAAUCGUGCGGAACGUAUUGUCUGAAAGAAAGAAAGAGUGCGGAAUAAACGAAGAAGAGAGGAUAGAGAAAGAAAGAGAGAAAGAAAGAUGAUGAAACGGAGAUGACGCGAAAGAGUACCAAUAUUCUAAAGUAAUUCUAAUGAUUGAAUUAAUAAUUUGAUAAUUAAUCGAUAUUGUACAUCGUAAACGACGUAGCGUGUAGGAUAAUUAAUCAACGAGAACUACGAACGCGGCGACGAUAAUUAAUUCGUAAUAAAUUAAUUAUUAUUACUCGAGGGAUCGAGGAGCGAGGAGAGGAAGCGUGAUCGGGCCACGCCGCGAUUUUCGAUUUAUUCGUUAUUCGUUGUAUCAUAAUAAAGUCGAAUGUUAAUAGGCGCGUCUCGAUCAGGCUUACGAUCAUCUAUAAAUAAUCUAAAGUACGCCGCAACUGUCCACGCGAUGCCGUCUAUCUAACGAGAAGACGUGAAUUCUCGCCGAAGAUUGUCAAGCUCGAACAUUCUCGUCCGAACGAGAAAAAAAAAAAAAGAAAAAGAAAAAGAAAAGAAAAAAAAAUAAGGAAUCGAUCGGUAAUCUUUUUAUACGUCUAACGGCCAUGAUCGAUUCGAAUCAUCCAUCGUUUGUUCGUCGGAGCGGGAAAUCGAGCUAGACGGGAACACACGGCACCAUGUGGAAAGUCGAUGUGGAGUAACGUGUCUAACCGAAGGAAGAAGAAGAAGAAGAAAAAGAAGAAGAAAAAGAAGAAGAAUCGGGAACGUCGAUCGAUCGCCUCCGUGGAUCGACGUUCUCGUCGAUUUUUCUUCCUUCGUUUCGGGCUUUCGGGCCUGUUUAGA